UCCCUGGUGGUCCAGUGGUUAAGAUUCUGUGCUUCCACUGCAGAGGGCUCAGCUUUCAAUCCUGGUCAGGGAA
rnacentral:tRNA from 1 species